GCAAGUCGAACGGUCUUUCUAUGGAAGCUUGCUUCCACUGAGAAGAUAGUGGCGAACGGGUGAGUAACACGUGGGUAACCUGCCCAUAAGAGGGGGGAUAACAUCCGGAAACGGGUGCUAAUACCGCAUAGUUUUCUUGAUCGCAUGAUCGGGAAAGGAAAGACGGCCUUUGUGCUGUCGCUUAUGGAUGGACCCGCGGCGUAUUAGUUAGUUGGUGAGGUAACGGCUCACCAAGACGAUGAUACGUAGCCGACCUGAGAGGGUGAUCGGCCACAUUGGGACUGAGACACGGCCCAAACUCCUACGGGAGGCAGCAGUAGGGAAUCUUCCGCAAUGGACGAAAGUCUGACGGAGCAACGCCGCGUGAGUGAAGAAAAGGUUUUCGGAUCGUAAAACUCUGUUGUCAGAGAAGAACAAGUUGGAGAGUAACUGCUCCAGCCUUGACGGUAUCUGACCAGAAAGCCACGGCUAACUACGUGCCAGCAGCGGC
rnacentral:rRNA from 1 species